rnacentral:rRNA from 1 species
ACGGGAGGCAGCAGUGGGGAAUAUUGCACAAUGGGGGAAACCCUGAUGCAGCGACGCCGCGUGAGUGAAGAAGUAUUUCGGUAUGUAAAGCUCUAUCAGCAAGGAAGAAAAUGACGGUACUUGACUAAGAAGCUCCGGCUAAAUACGUGCCAGCAGCCGCGGUAAUACGUAUGGAGCAAGCGUUAUCCGGAUUUACUGGGUGUAAAGGGAGCGUAGACGGCAAAGCAAGUCUGAAGUGAAAUGCCGGGGCUUAACCCCGGAACUGCUUUGGAAACUGUUUAGCUAGAGUGCAGGAGAGGUAAGCGGAAUUCCUAGUGUAGCGGUGAAAUGCGUAGAUAUUAGGAGGAACACCAGUGGCGAAGGCGGCUUACUGGACUGUAACUGACGUUGAGGCUCGAAAGCGUGGGGAGCAAACAGGAUUAGAUACCCUGGUA